rnacentral:rRNA from 1 species
UACGUAGGUGGCAAGCGUUGUCCGGAAUUAUUGGGCGUAAAGAGCGUGUAGGCGGCCAGACAGGUCUGCUGUGAAAACUCGAGGCUCAACCUCGAGAUGUCGGCGGAAACCUUCUGGCUAGAGUCCGGAAGAGGAGAGUGGAAUUCCUGGUGUAGCGGUGAAAUGCGCAGAUAUCAGGAAGAACACCUAUGGCGAAGGCAGCUCUCUGGGACGGUACUGACGCUGAGACGCGAAAGCGUGGGGAGCGAACAGG